UAAAAGCAAGUGCUACUUGAUAUCUUUGUAAAUACUUAAAUUGUUUACUGCAGGAUGGACUGGGGUUUAGAGCUUAGAGUGGAAUCAACAUGGGGAAAACAGACUCAGCUGUAGGAAUGUUGAAAAAAAGAAUGGAGGCGGUAAUGGAGAUGGCAGCUGAAGUUUCCAAAGUCCUGAUUCAGAGAAAUAAUAUCAGCCAUCUCUACAAGAUUUUUCAACUGAUGAAGAACCUUUAUUCUCCCUUGUGUUUUCACACAGGCUAUGUAGGCUGGAAACAAUUUCUUUAUCUUCAGACUACCAUCAGACAGCUCGUAUAUAUGGAUAUGGAUAGAGCUUUUGAAAGAUUGAAGAAUAAAACACAAGCAAGGCAGAAGCAAUGAAAUUCAGCUACUAUACCAGCACAAGCAGCCAGAAGUAAGGAAGUAACACCAAAGGCAGGGAAGAAAAGUGAUUGAUGUCCUUGUUGGAAAGAUGGAUGAGAUCAAUCUGACAGUUUCUGUUUAAAAUUGAAUUUCCUGCUGCUCAAGCAACUUAAUUUCGUUUAUGUUCUUUUUUUUUAACACUGACUUUACAGAAAG
rnacentral:lncRNA from 1 species